AAUUGCCCGGAGUCCGGGCCCGCCGGGAACCGAUUGGCGGGAGGGAGGAUAAAGCAUCACCCGCCUCCAUCGCUCUGCAACAAAAUAAAACAACAAUCUUCAACCAUUAUAUAUGACCCUUUUGUCUCUUCUUCUGAUCCCAAAUCCGUGUUUUUUGUUAUUGUGAUCAGGAAUGAGUUUCUCAUCCAAUCCACUCUCCCUUAGCGUUCCGGACGCCGCCUUCGAUUCAUGGCUUCGCGAUUCCGGCUACCUCGAGAUUCUCGAUCAACGCACCUCCGACCUCCACCGCCAUUCCUCCGCCACUGCAGCCACUGCCCCCACCAGACCCACCCCCACCGCCGUCGCUCCUUUAGCCACAGGUUUCUUCAUCUCCUUCUUCUCUCGUAUCGGAACCCUUCUCUCCGUUUUCACUCUUAACCCCUUUGCCAAGCUCUCUGCUGCUGAUUUUGCCGGCCCGACCCCCUCCUGGACUUCCGGAUUUGUUGGGUUUUUUGAAUCGUACUCGUUUCCUUCCUCGCCGGCUCAAGCUCGUCUCAGAGUCCACGAGAACGCCAAACGCUAUGCUCGCAAUUACGCAUCCUUAUUUGUUCUCUUUUUUGUCUGCACGCUGUACCAGAUGCCUCUUGCUCUCCUCGGAUUAGUAUCAUGUUUAGCACUUUGGGACAUUGUUAAAUUUUGUGGUGAUAGAUGGGCAUUGGACAAAUAUCCAGUUGUUUGGCAGUGUUUGGUUCGCAUUGCUCAAUGUGUGACUGUCAUCAUCCUUUUAUUUUCCAACUUUCAAAUGGCAAUCUUCUGUGCACUUGGCGUUGGAUAUACAGGCAUGAUUUUGCACGCUGCAUUUCGGAAGCUAACUCUCACGAGGCCCCCGUCUUCCAUAAAUCGAAAAUAGCCCGUUACAGUUUGCUGCUCCUUUUGUUAAAAGAGGGCUAUGAUGCAGAAGAAUAUGCUGCAUUGUGGGAGUGUUGAACAAUUUGAGCAUUUUCCCUUCCUUCAUUGAAUCUCACGUUACUUUAAAGGCAACUCUUACCAGGAUUAGGUUAGACACGGAUUUAAGAUUAAAGCCUCUCUCUCCUUUUUGCUUGCGGGGGACGACUGAGCUUCCUAGAUCCGCAUCAGCGGGCGAGAGGACACAUACCUCCCUCAUAUUCUUUAAAUGGGCAAGACUCGGAUACUGCAUGCGAGAAGUAGAAUAGUUUACUGAACAACGACUUAGAUUGUUGUGUAAUGCUCUUGAUAUAAAAAACAAGUUUCUUGUCAAACAUCUCACAAGAUAUGAAGAUUAAUCUUAUUUGAAUGUUCUUAG